CAUCAAUCAUCCGGAAUUGUUUCGAGUAUAAAAAAAUGUAUAAACGCAAUUCAUACGGGGAAUCUGCGUUCAUUUCUGCCGACUUGCAAGGAUUCUUCCACGAAUCAUUUAAUCCUGCUAUGCGAUAAAAGGCUAAGAGUAUAUUCAUUGCAUCCUGCUGCGCUUAAUUAAUAACAAGGUCACAAGAUGGAAGAAACGAUUUGUUAAACAAAAAAUUAAUAAGAAACAGAAUUUUCUUCUUUGAAAAAGUUUUUAAUAAAUAAAGGGAACAA